CUUUGAAACCAUAAACAAACAUUGCCAUUUGGCCUCCGGUUUUUUAUAGAAUUAUGAACAGCCUGUGUUAGAGAUGAUCCAGUGCUGAGGGAGGCGACUCCACACCCAGGUCCCUAACUCACGACCCGUUUGUUAACGGACCGGCGCCAACGGCUUUACUUCCUCAUGCGAUGGAAGGCGUGAUCCCAGAGAUUUUUCGCCUCAGAAAAUCUCCCGGUGUCGGCUAGGAUUGAAUCUAGACCAGUUGGGUUGGUUGUGAGUGGAUCACGUCACCUCCCAACCAUCGACACCCAUGUCGGCGGUGGGAUUCGAACCCAGGCGUCGAGCGUGGUUGGCGGAGUCGUUACCAACCACACUAGGCCCCCGCUCUAAUUUUCAAUAUUUUUCAACCAAUAUUUUACAGAAUAUAGUUAUAGCUGUUGACAGCGUUUUUCACGAAACCGUGUUUUUCAACUGAUGGUACGUGCUUCUCAGCAUCUACUGAACCGAUUUGACCGAAAUUUUUUCCAGCAUGUAGAAAUGGAUUAUUUAACUUGUUACAUAGUUAUUUUCAAAACCUGAAUUUUUCAAUGUUUCAUAAAUUUUAAAAUAGUGAUUUUUCUUGAAAAAAAAAUUUUUUGAUAAAAUGGCCGCCAUUUCGACAUGCUGUAGAGAAUUUUCACCAAAUCGGUUCAGUAGAUGCUGAGAAAAACGUAUCACCAGUUGAAAAACAUGGUUUCGAGAGAACUGCUGUUAACAGCUUAACACUCACUAUACAGGUCGGACUCGAUUAUCCGGAACAUCAAAAAAAAAGUUCAUUCCGGAUAAUCAAGUUUUCCGGAUAAUCGAAUCACAGAAAAAAAAAAUAAAACUUGCGAUUAACGAACAUAGAAGAAAUAUUUACUUCUUUUAAUCUGUUUGUAUGAUGCAGUGGCGUAACAAGAAAUUAUUUUUGGGGCGAAAAGGGGUGAUUUCUUGAGAAGCAUAAAAAAAUAAAUUAAACGUUGACUAUUUUCACUUAUUUCGAACAUGUCCCAAACAUGACGGAAUUGACAUGAAUGAUAACAAACAUGCCAGAAGAGAUGGUAAAGGUAAAAUUUCAGAUAAA